rnacentral:rRNA from 1 species
GAUGAACGUUGGCGGUGUGCCUAAUACAUGCAAGUCGAACGGAGUUAAUAGCAAUAUUGGCUCAGUGGCGAACGGGUGAGUAACGCGUUGGUGAUCUGCCUUGAAGUGUGGAAUAACGUUCCGAAAGGAACGCUAAUACCGCAUGUGCUCUCGAUUUUCAGAAAGUUGAGAGUAAAGGAUUUAUUCGCUUCAAGAGGAGCCUGCGUCCCAUCAGCUGGUUGGUAGGGUAAAGGCCUACCAAGGCUAUGACGGGUAGGGGACCUGAGAGGGUCGGCCCCCCACAAUGGAACUGAAACACGGUCCAUACACCUACGGGUGGCAGCAGUAGGGAAUAUUAGAAAUGGACGAAAGUCUGAUCUAGCAACACCGCGUGUGCGAAGAAGGCCUUCGGGUCGUAAAGCACUUUUUGGAAGGAAUAGGAAGGAAUGUACUUCCAGAAUAAGUCUCGGCUAACUACGUG